rnacentral:rRNA from 1 species
CCUACGGGAGGCAGCAGUGAGGAAUUUUCCGCAAUGGGCGAAAGCCUGACGGAGCAAUACCGCGUGAGGGAUGAAGGAUUUUGGUCUGUAAACCUCUUUUCUCAAGAAAGAAGUUCUGACGGUACUUGAGGAAUAAGCAUCGGCUAACUCCGUGCCAGCAGCCGCGGUAAUACGGGGGAUGCAAGCGUUAUCCGGAAUGAUUGGGCGUAAAGCGCCUGUAGGUUGUUUAUUAAGUCCAUUGUUAAAGCCUAGGGCUCAACCCUAGAAAAGCAAUGGAAACUAGUAGACUAGAGUAUGGCAGGGGUAGAGGGAAUUUCUAGUGUAGCGGUGAAAUGCGUAGAUAUUAGAAAGAACACCGGUGGCGAAAGCGCUCUACUGGACCAUUACUGACACUCAGAGGCGAAAGCUAGGGUAGCAAAAGGGAUUAGAUACCCCUGUAGUCCUAGCCGUAAACGAUGGAUACUAGAUGUUGUGCAUUAUGUACAGUAUCGUAGCUAACGCGUUAAGUAUCCCGCCUGGGGAGUACGCUCGCAAGGGUGAAACUUAAGAUAUAGACGCGNGAGAGCGACGACGACGACGAGAGGAG